UAUUACCUGCUGCUGCGAUUGUGUGGAUAUAUCCUAUGGUACUUUGCCCUGUAGGAAGCUGAGCCAUUUCAUAUGGUAUUUUUUCCAUUCCAGGUGUAAGAACUUUCUUCUACCAUCACUGAGAACUGUGAGAAGUUGCAUGGUGAUGGGCCUGCAUUCUCAUUGCAAAAUUAUCAAGUGGUCAGCACAAAUAAGCUGAGGACAGGAAGUGUGUUUAGCUGUAGGAGGACGGCUGGGAAAAAGAACUGAGAGUGCUGUACAGCUAGUGAAUGAUGAGGACAUCUUGACCUUGGUCAGCCAGAAGCCUUGGGAGCAACAAACAGGAAUGUAGAAAAACAAGAUAAGGAUGCUGAGCUUUGUCUGAAGAAAACAUGAAAGGCUAUGGUUAAUGGAAAAGAUCUGGCCAUUUCUUAAACAGUGGAAAGUUUUCUGCCUUGAGCUAAAAGUGUAUAAGAUGUUGUGCUUGUGCUUGUAAGAUUUAAUUAACCAAUAGGCUUAGGAUAUCAGUAACUAACUUAUAGCUAAUGAGUUGUCUGGUGUAUUAUGGACAGAGGGUAAUGACCAAUCAAAUGUUAGUCUUAGGUGCGUGGACAGUGUGUGGAGAAUGCAUGUAACCAAUCAAGCCUUCUGUUUAUGUGUGAUCAGUUGCUAGGAAGAUAUAUAAACGUGCUUGUAUUGGCAAUAAACAUCUUCGAUUUAUGACUCUUA